GUUAAGACUGCCACCUGGCCACUUUGGGUUCCUCAUGCCUCUGAGUCAACAGGCCGAGAAGAGAACUAUGGUGUUGGCUAGGGUAAUUGAUCUAAACUACCAUUGGAAAAUCAUACUACUGUUCCACAAUGGAAGUAAGAAAGGGUGUGUCUGGAAUACAGGAGAUAUCUUAGCGUGUCUGUUACUAUCCAUGCUCUGUGGUUAAGGUCAAUGGAAAACACCACCACCACAACCUAGGCAGGACUACAAAUGACCCAGAUUCUUCAAGAAUAAAGGUUUUUUUCACCCCACCAGAUUCUUUUGGAUUGACAAUACACAAUUAUUGAUUCUACUGUCAUGCAGAAUCUUUCAGAAGCCAAUGGAAGUUUAUAGGAGCAGCACUGGUGCAACAAUGGUGGGUCACAUGGGAAUCUGUUCCUCUUUUUUCACGCAGCUUACUAGGGCCAUUUCAUCCUACUGAGGGCUGAUUCCUGAUAUGCUGCUUUAACUGUAUAAUAAAUUAUUAUUGGUCCUGCCUGAU